AAGUCAUGAGCUGGAACGCUCAGAAACGAUAUGUACCUUCAAUCAAAUUACAGAAUUAACUAGGGGAAAAUGAGGAAGAACUUUAGGUACAGACAGCGAGAGAUCUUCAAAAUACUAUUAAAAGAAGAAAGCACUCUCGGUGUAAAAAAGAAGCCGAGGCGAGCAGAUCACUUGACUUCAGGAGUUCAAGACCAGCCCAGCCAAAAUGGUGAAAUCCACCUCCACUAAAAAUACAAAAAUUAGCCAGGCAUGGUGGUGGGUGCCUGUAAUCCCAGCUACUUGGGAGGCUGAUGCAGAAGAAUUACGUGAACCUGGAAGGCGGAGGCUGCAGUGAGCCAAGAUGGUGCCACUACACUCCAGCCUGAAUGACAGAGGAAGACUCCGUCUCAAAAAAAAGAAAAAAGAAGAGGUGCUGCUUAUAAAACAGAAUAUGACAACUUUAUUGGGAGGAAAAAAGGUAAUUUUUGCAUAUGCUGAUAAAACUACAAAAAGGGAAAAUGGCCAAAUACUUAUUCAGUAGCAAAUACCAGUGAGUGGACGGACAUAAAUUAUAAUUUUGAUAAAACUACAAAAGGAGGCCGGACACGGUGGCUCACGCCUGUAAUCCCAGCACUUUGGGAGGCCGAGGCAGGCGGAUCACGAGGUCAGGAGAUUGAGACCAUCCUGGCUAAACCCCGUCUCUAUUAAAAAUACAAAAAUUAGCCGGGCGUGGUGGCACAUGCUUGUAGUCCCAGCUACCCGGGAGGCUGAGGCAGGGGAAUCGCUUGAACCGGGGAGGCAGAGGUUGCAGUGAGCCGAGAUCGCACCACUGAACUCCAGCCUGGGCAACAGCGAGAAAAAAAAAAAGUAAAAAAGGCCAAAUAUUUAUUCAAUAUAUUUCAAUUAUUUAUUCAAUUUAUUCAAUAUAUUUAUAGCAAAUACCAGUGAGUGACAAUUAUUUAACUAAAAUGAUAUCUGACUAAAUGUUGAAGCAAGGCAUGUUUGUGACACCAAAAAGUUUAUCACAGAAAUUCAGGACAGCCAACUGCUAUUAAAAUGUUCUGGUUUCACCAUCUCCUUCUCCAAAAGCCUUCCUAACUUCCAAUCAAAUGUUAUUUUAGGUGUUUGGUAAAAUGAGGAAUGUUAUCAAAAGAGGGGAGGAGAAACUGCUGUUCAAAAAAGUCAAUAUCCUGAAAGGCUGUGGGAAACUUCCAGACUACAAAAAGCUAGAGACAUGAUAACUAAAUACAUUUCCUGACCCUAGACUGGAUCCUGUGCUGGAAGGGAAAAUUCUAGAAAGGACAUUAUAUGGUCAACUCCCAAAAUUAGAAUAUGGACAGGUUAGAAAAAAGUACUGCAUCAAUGUAAAUUUGUGAAAGUGGUAACGUAUUACUGUGGUUAUUUAAGAGAAUAUGCCUAUUCUUAGGAAAUACACAUUCAAGAAUUUAGGAUUAAGUGGCUACAGUGUAUGUAAUCUUCCCUGAAAUCUCAAAGGGUUUGGAAAAAUAUUGUAUGUCUGUAUAUUUGCAUUUGUUAGCCCAUGUCUGUGUGUCUGUAUGUGUAUCCGUAUGAGUGUGUAUUUGCAGACAGAGAAUUCCAGCACACACAAAUGAUUAAGCAAAUGGAUUUAAUCUUAACAACAGGUGGAUCUGGGUAAAGGACCAUCUGGGGAUUCUUUGUACUAUUUUUCUUUCCGCAACUUUUCAAGUUUCAAACUAUUUGCAAAUAAAGAGUUUUUGUUUGUU